CUCAGAUUCAUAUUAUUUAAUUUAUUUUUGUUAUACACAUUCCUUCAUCAAGUGUUCAUUUGGAGUGUUCAGAUUGUUAGUUAUACAGGUAUGAUAGAUAUACAACGACAGUAACAAUGGAUAACAUGCUACUGUUCCAAUGGUCCUAACCACAGCACAACGACACUCUUACUGAUUGGUUAGCCGUGAGGUUGCCGCGCUGACGUCACUACACUACUGUGUGUGAUUGGAGGAGAGAGAACUCAAGCGGUGUGAUGUCGCGGAACUACAGAUUGCCCCUUUAAACCAGUGGCCACCAACCCUAGAAGUGCAUCAGUCCCAGAUUGCCCCUUUAAACUAGUAGCCACCAACCCUAGAAGACCAUCAGUCCCAGAUUACCCAUUUAAACCAGUGGCCACCAACCUCGGACGAGCAUCAGUCCCAGAUUGCCCCUUUAACCUAGUAGCCACCAACCCUAGAAGAUCAUCAGUCCCAGAUUGCCCCUUUAAACCAGUGGCCACCAACCCUAGAAGAUCAUCAGUCCCAGAUUACCCAUUUAAACUAGUAGCCACCAACCCUAGAAGACCAUCAGUCCCAGAUUGCCCCUUUAAACUAGUAGCCACCAACCCUAGAAGACCAUCAGUCCCAGAUUGCCCCUUUAAACCAGUGGCCACCAACCCUAGAAGUGCAUCAGUCCCAGAUUGUCCCCCCUUUAAACCAGUGGCCACCAACCCUAGAAGUGCAUCAAUCAGUGAUUGCCCCUUUUAAACCAGUGGCCACCAACCCUAGAAGUGCAUCAGUCCCAGAUUACCCCUUUAAACCAGUGGCCACCAACCCUAGAAGAGCAUCAGUCCCAGAUUGCCCCUUUAAACUAGUAGCCACCAACCCUAGAAGUGCAUCAGUCCCAGAUUGCCCCUUUAAACUAGUAGCCACCAACCCUAGAAGUGCAUCAGUCCCAGAUUACCCAUUUAAACCAGUGGCCACCAACUCUAGAAGACCAUCAUUACAAGCUGUGCAGGCUUUAAUUCCAGCCCUGCACUAAACCCACCUGAUUUUGACUAAUCCACUUGAUUAGCUAUAUUCAAAGUGUGUUGGUGGUAGUCAGGAACAAAAUCCUGCUUAGUCUCACUACAUAGCUAUGACUCUAUGUAAGGGUUGACCACUGAGAUAACUAGGUUACAGACAGACAGACAUGAGAAUACGAUCAACCUAGUAUUCCCUUUAUAGGACACUACUUCUGACCAGAGCCUUAUGGUCCCAUGUCAAAAGUAGUGCACUAUAUAGGGAAAAAGGUCAAUUUGGGCCUGUAUGAGUGGAUGGAUGGAAGCACAAGUGAUUUAGUAGCUUGGGGUAGAAGUUGCUCUUAGGCACAGAUCUAGGAUCAGCUUGUCUAGGAGUGUCCAGGUGUCACCAGGUGUCUAGAUUAAUCCAGAUGGGUAACCAGGUGUCUAGAUUCAUCCAGAUGGGUCACCAGGUGUCUAGAUUCAUCCAGAUGGGUCACCAGGUGUCUAGACGUGUCCAGAUGGGUCACCAGGUGUCUAGACGUGUCCAGAUGGGUCACCAGGUGUCUAGACGUGUCCAGAUGGGUCACCAGGUGUCUAGAUGUGUCCAGAUGGGUCACCAGGUGUCUAGAUGUGUCCAGAUAGGUCACCAGGUGUCUAGAUGUGUCCAGAUAGGUCACCAGGUGUCUAGAUGUGUCCAGAUGGGUCACCAGGUGUCUAGAUGUGUCCAGAUAGGCCACCAGGUGUCUAGAUGUGUCCAGAUGGGUCACCAGGUGUCUAGAUGAAUCCAGAUAGGUCACCAGGUGUCUAGAUUAAUCCAGAUGGGUCACCAGAUGUCUAGAUUAAUCCAGAUGAGUCACCAGGUGUCUAGAUCUGUCCAGAUGAGUCACCAGGUGUCUAGAUGAGUCACCAGGUGUCUAGAUUAAUCCAGAUGGUGUCUAGAUUAAUCCAGAUGGGUCACCAGGUGUCUAGAUGAAUCCAGAUGAGUCACCAGGUGUCUAGAUGGGUCCAGAUGAGUCACCAGGUGUCUAGAUUAAUCCAGAUGGGUCACCAGGUGUCUAGAUUAAUCCAGAUGGGUCACCAGGUGUCUAGAUGUGUCCAGGUGUCACCAGGUGUCUAGAUUAAUCCAGAUGGGUCACCAGGUGUCUAAAUUAAUCCAGAUGGGUCACCAGGUGUCUAGAUGGGUCACCAGGUGUCUAGAUUAAUAUAGAUGGGUCACCAGGUGUCUAGAUUAAUCCAGAUGAGUCACCAGGUGUCUAGAUUAAUCCAGAUGGGUCACCAGGUGUCUAGAUGUGUCCAGAUGAGUCACCAGGUGUCUAGAUGGGUCACCAGGUGGUGUCUAGAUGUGUCCAGGUGUCACCAGGUGUCCAGAAUUGUCCAGAUGAGUCACCAGGUGUCUAGAUUAAUCCAGAUGAGUCACCAGGUGUCUAGAUUAAUCCAGAUGAGUCACCAGGUGUCUAGAUUCAUCCAGAUGAGUCACCAGGUGUCUAGAUUAAUCCAGGUGGGUCACCAGGUGUCUAGAUUAAUCCAGAUGGGUCACCAGGUGUCUAGAUUAAUCCAGAUGAGUCACCAGGUGUCUAGAUGUGUCCACUCUCACCAGGUGUGUGUAAAGGUGUCCAGAAGUGUCCACUCUCACCAGCUGUGUGUAAAGGUGUCCUGUGUAUCCAGGUGUGCUGAGGUGUUGUGAUCAUAAAGGGAAUCCGUUAAACGGGACGUCUAGUGACGUUCAUCUUAUAGACUGAUCUCAGGCCUGUCCCAACUCAUUCAUCUCAUAGACUGAUCUCAGGCCUGUCCAACUCAUUCCCCUUAUAGACUGAUCUCAGGCCUGUCCAACUCAUUCCCCUUUUAGACUGAUCUCAGGCCUGUCCCAACUCAUUCACCUUAUAGACUGAUCUCAGGCCUGUCCAACUCAUUCAUCUCAUAGACUGAUCUCAGGCCUGUCCAACUCAUUCCCCUUAUAGACUGAUCUCAGGCCUGUCCAACUCAUUCACCUUAGAUAGCGAACUCAGGGGUGUCCAACUAAUUCCCCUUAUAGACUGAUCUCAGGCCUGUCCAACUCAAUCACCUUAUAGACUGAUCUCGGGCCUGUCCCAACUCAUUCAUCUUAUAGACUGAUCUCAGGCCUGUCCAACUCAUUCCCCUUAUAGACUGAUCUCAGGCCUGUCCAACUCAUUCACCUUAGAUAGCGAACUCAGGGGUGUCCAACUAAUUCCCCUUAUAGACUGAUCUCAGGCCUGUCCAACUCAAUCACCUUAUAGACUGAUCUCGGGCCUGUCCCAACUCAUUCAUCUUAUAGACUGAUCUCAGGCCUGUCCAACUCAUUCCCCUUAGAUAGCGAACUCAGGGGUGUCCAACUAAUUCCCCUUAUAGACUGAUCUCAGGCCUGUCCAACUCAUUCACCUUAUAGACUGAUCUCAGGCCUGUCCAACUCAUUCAUCUUAUAGACUGAUCUCAGGCCUGUCCAACUAAUUCCCCUUAUAGACUGAUCUCAGGCCUGUCCAACUCAUUCACCUUAUAGAAUGAUCUCAGGCCUGUCAAACUCAUUCCCCUUAUAGACUGAUCUCAGGCCUGUCCCAACUCAUUCAUCUCAUACACUGAUAUCAGGCCUGUCCAACUCAUUCACCUUAUAGACUGAUCUCAGGCCUGUCCAACUCAUUCACCUUAGAUAGCGAACUCAGGGGUGUCCAACUACUUCACCUUAUAGACUGAUCUCAGGCCUGUCCCAACUCAUUCACCUUAUAGACUGAUCUCAGGCCUGUCCAACUCAUUCACCUUAGAUAGC
ensembl:lncRNA